GAGGGAGUAUGUAUAGGUACAGGGGCAGGAGACUCUCCGGAAGUUUUGUUUUUGUUGAGAAGAAAGAAUGAUUUAAAAUUGAGUCUGAUAGAACCGUAUUAUAUAAACUACGGAGAACUAAAUAUUGUAAAGAAUAAAAUUGAUAAGAUUAUACCAAAGAUUAAGAAAAGGAUGAUACAACUGCAGAGUCGAGAUAUUAUCU
rnacentral:lncRNA from 1 species